CCCGACUCGCGGGGUAGCUGAGGGUUUUCGUCGUUCCCUCGCCUCGUCCUCGCUCGCUCUCUCUCGAUAGAGUGACGUGAGAGCAAAAUGCUGGCGAGCAGCGCUCCUCCUCCUCCCCUUCUUCAGAAGGACCUCCUCUUCUCCUACUCUCUCCAAAGCCCUUUACUUCCUCCUCUGCUUUCUCCGACUCGGCGCCUCUUCGCCCUUCGCCGCCGAUGUGGCUGCUCCUUCGAACGCGCCGCUCGAGGGGAGAGGGAUGAGUCGCCGGUGGUGGCUGCAGCGUCCGGCCGCCACGGCUACGAGCGUAUCCCCAUGGAGACGGCCGGCGCUUACCGCCUGGUCGACAGAGAGACUGGGGAGAAGUUCAUCGUCUGGGGAGGGUCCGAUGACAACGACGAUGCCGACACCCCCAUCCCCUCCGCGGAGGUCCUCUCUUGGAAACCCCCUACCGCCGACGGUCGACAGGAAGGAGUUGAUGUGACAAUGCCUAUUGAUGAAACCGGCAAUAAGAAAGUUGCGCCUGCUGGUGGAUCUCGUAGAAGUUUCGGAAGGCUGAAGGCACAGAAGGUGAAGUCCUUGAUAAAGAAAACCUCCAAAAAUUAUAUGGAUGACUCUAAAAUUGGAAGUGUCACGUUUGUUGGAGAUUCACCUUCAAGUGAUACCAAUCGAACAGAUUCAUUUGGUUGUGGCAGAGCACAGGGUCUGAAGGAUUCAGAUUUGAAGGACAAUUCAGCAGUGAAUGAAGAGACUGAAGCCACAAAUUCUUUGCGCUUGAAUUCUAGAGAAGAUGAUUAUGCUUCAUUUCUAGACAGAUCUGUUCCAAGGAAUGCUUCCUUCAGGGGAUGGGGAGGUGCUGCUUCUAAUCGGGCUGGUACAGCUGUCCGGUCCAAGCAGCACAAGAAAAUGGCUACUAAUGCUGGAUUUUUUAGCAGGAAAUCUUUCAAAGAUGUUGGUUGCACUGAUGACAUGGUUGGUGCUUUGAGGGGACUGACGUUCCUUCGCCCAUCUCAUAUUCAGGCAAUGGCAUAUGGACCUAUUAUAGAAGGAAAGACUUGUAUUGUUGCUGAUCAGAGUGGAUCUGGUAAGACAUUGGCUUAUCUUGCUCCAACUAUACAAUGCUUAAGACAGGAAGAGAUACUAGGUCUUGGUAAAGCAUCAUCAAGGAGCCCAAGAGUGAUAAUAUUGGUGCCUACUGCUGAAUUGGCUUCACAGGUUCUUAGUAAUUGCCGGUCAAUAGCAAAAUAUGGUGUCCCAUUCAGAUCUAUGGUUGCAACAGGCGGCUUUCGACAGAAAACUCAGCUAGACAAUCUUAAUGAAGAAUCCGAUGUACUCAUUGCAACACCUGGCCGUUAUAUGUAUCUGCUACAAGAAGGCUUUCUGCAACUAACGAACCUUAGAUGUGUUGUCCUUGAUGAAGUGGACAUCCUAUUCAGAGAUGACGGAUUUGAACAUGUUCUUGAGAGCUUCAUCAGUUCUGCACCAGUGUCGGCACAAUAUCUUUUUGUUACUGCAACUCUUCCAGUUGAUAUCUAUAAUAAAGUGGUUGAAAUAUUUCCGGACUCUGAAGUAAUCAUGGGACCUGGCAUGCACCGUACAAGCUCCGGUCUCGAAGAGGUUCUUGUUGACUGCAGUGGUGCUGAAGGGGAGGAGAAGAAUCCAGAUACUGCUUUUCAAAAUAAGAAAUCUGCUCUUCUGCAGCUUUUAGAACUGCCAGUUCCUAAAACUAUUGUUUUCUGCAAUAAGAUUGAAACCUGCAGAAUGGUGGAGAAUGUAUUGAAUCGCUUUGAUAGGAAAGGAUCACAAAUCCAAGUCUUGCCAUUCCAUGCUGCCAUAGCACAGGAAAUACGCUUAUCAAACAUGAGAGAGUUUCUCAACUCACGUUCAAAAGAUUCAAAGUUUCUGAUCUGCACUGAUAGGGCAUCACGAGGCAUAGACUUUGCAGGUGUGGACCAUGUGGUACUCUUCGACUUCCCUCGUGAUCCUAGCGAGUAUGUCCGCCGUGUCGGGAGGACAGCUCGUGGUGCCGGUGGCAAAGGCAAGGCCUACGUCUUUGUCGUAGGCAAGCAGGUCUCCUUGGCCAGGCGGAUAAUGGAAAGGAACAAGAAGGGCCAUCCAUUGCAUGAUCUACCUUGUGCGAGUUUGGCGCCAUAGCGAGACACAUCCAAGAGAAGCUCUCAAAUGUUGUAAGCAACACCCCCACCACUGAUCCUGACUUGCUGUACGAUUGGUUGAGAAAACCCAACUUAAUUUCUAUCCGCUGGUUUUCGGAUUGGCGAACCACUAGCAAAUAAACCAAUCAAGUGGACAAACUCUUGUUACUUCUAAGAAGGUUGCUGAAAGUUCUCUUA